GCCACUCCCUUGAUCCGAGUUCUACAGUAACCCACGUCAAAUACUCAACACCAGCCCUCAUGGAACUGCUCCGAGCCAUUUCAGCUGUCUGAAGCUUGCCCUCUGGAACAUUCUUCGGCUGCGUGAAGUGACAGGUGGAAACACGGACGGAUUUUCAGCUUGAUGAAGGAAGACCCGUUUUCUUUGAUGAUGGAGAACUGGGGCAGAUCCGGAAAGCACGGCAAAAUAUGUAACAUUUCCAAGGCACCCGUGAGGUACUAUUCGACCGGUGUGAACCAAGAGUUUGUUUGAGGGAAACAAGGUAUGGCUUCCUUGUUCUGACCCCCUUCUGCCUGUGAAGGUCUACCAUUUUGCACAGCUCCUCCAAGCUCCUGGCGAGGUGCUGGACGGGAAGCUCCCUGAUUCAUGCAUGAACUGUUGAA